rnacentral:rRNA from 1 species
CCAACGGCAUAGCUGGGUAGCUAUGUGUGGACGGGAUAAGUGCUGAAAGCAUCUAAGCAUGAAGCCCCCCUCAAGAUGAGAUUUCCCAACUUCGGUUAUAAGAUCCCUCAAAGAUGAUGAGGUUAAUAGGUUCGAGGUGGAAGCAUGGUGACAUGUGGAGCUGACGAAUACUAAUCGAUCGAAGACUUAAUCAAAA